UUAGUGAUCAUGAAGAACAGUUGUACGAACAUCAUACUUAAAAUCACAGAAAUUAAAUAUGAUUCAAAAGAAGAUAUCCAUUAUAAACAAUAAGUUCAUACAACCCCAAGAAUAUAAAAUAAAAUAUAAAACCCGUGUCCCUGUGUUAGGGCUGCAUCCAGCCUUAGUGAGGAGAUCAGCCUUUCAUGGAGUGGUGGACGGCAGCAGCAGCACAGCAGCGGGCUCCCAUCUCUUCCUUCAUGAUUUCUUUCUUUGAAAUAUUCCCAAAAUAACAAAAC
rnacentral:lncRNA from 1 species